CCUACGGGGGCUGCAGUGGGGAAUAUUGGACAAUGGGCGCAAGCCUGAUCCAGCCAUGCCGCGUGAGUGAUGAAGGUCUUAGGAUUGUAAAGCUCUUUCACCGGAGAAGAUAAUGACGGUAUCCGGAGAAGAAGCCCCGGCUAACUUCGUGCCAGCAGCCGCGGUAAUACGAAGGGGGCUAGCGUUGUUCGGAAUUACUGGGCGUAAAGCGCACGUAGGCGGAUAUUUAAGUCAGGGGUGAAAUCCCAGAGCUCAACUCUGGAACUGCCUUUGAUACUGGGUAUCUAGAGUAUGGAAGAGGUGAGUGGAAUGCCGAGUGUAGAGGUGAAAUUCGUAGAUAUUCGGAGGAACACCAGUGGCGAAGGCGGCUCACUGGUCCAUUACUGACGCUGAGGUGCGAAAGCGUGGGGAGCAAACAGGAUUAGAUACCCGAGUAGUC
rnacentral:rRNA from 1 species